UACAUGUAGUUGACCAUUUCAGAGUUAUAAGGCUUUAACGGGAACUUCUUGGAGCCUUCUCUAUUUUGUCAGUUUCUAUCUUAUAACCGUAUUACUUCUACUGAAUUUGGUUGUGGCUUUUGUCCUGGAGGCUUUCUUGCUGAAAUGGAGCUCGAGUCUGCAGAAAUUUGUGAAAAGAAUGAGGAGGUGGAAGGAGUAAAAGACCGACCUCGAUCCGUAGGCUCAAAAUCACGGAGCCAGAGAGUUGAUGCUCUUCUUCAUCAUAUGUUGAGUGCAGAGCUAAAUGAAACGCAGUCCUCCAGUGCAUAGCUUAUGUCAUUUUCCGUUAUGGUUACGUUAGUGAUUUGGUAGAACCAGAAAGAAGAGUUCUUCAAAUAUAGAGGGCAAGGAUUUGUUGGAUUGUCGUCUGCAAAUUAAAAGUACAGGAUAUUUUUUUUUUUUUUUUGGGUCACAAGAUACGUAGAGGAUACUGUGGUAAGGAGUAUAGGUCUCAGGGAGUGGGAUGCCGGGGCGCUAAGGUUCAGUUCAUUCCUUUAGUGAUAUUAGACUACAAUUUUUUUAUUUUAUUUUAUUAUCGACUAGCCAUUUAUGAGUCGAAGUUUGGAUGUUCCAUUUACAAAAGAAAGACUAAUGCAACGGUAUACUUAAUUUUUGAUAUAUAUUUUCACCCAAGAUAUCUGUACCAAC